rnacentral:rRNA from 1 species
CGUAGGUGGCAAGCGUUGUCCGGAAUUAUUGGGCGUAAAGGGCGCGUAGGCGGUACCUUAAGUCAGAUGUGAAAUCUCCGGGCUUAACCCGGAACGGUCAGCCGAUACUGCAGGGCUAGAGUGCAGAAGGGGCAACUGGAAUUCUCGGUGUAGCGGUGAAAUGCGUAGAUAUCGAGAGGAACACCUGCGGCGAAGGCGGGUUGCUGGGCUGACACUGACGCUGAGGCGCGAAAGCUAGGGGAGCGAACGGGAUUAGAUACCCCGGUAGUCCUAGCCUUAAACGAUGAAUGCUUGGUGUCUGGGGUUUUAUAGUCCCCGGGUGCCGUCGCUAACGCUUUAAGCAUUCCGCCUGGGGAGUACGGUCGCAAGACUG